rnacentral:rRNA from 1 species
AGAAUCUUUCGCAAUGCCCGAAAGGGUGACGAAGCGACGCCGCGUGUGGGAAGAAGGCCUUCGGGUUGUAAACCACUGUCGGGAGUUAAGAAAUGUAAGGAUGUUAAUAGCGUCCUUACUUGACUAAGGCUCCGGAGGAAGCCACGGCUGACUCUGUGCCAGCAGCCGCGGUAAUACAGCGGCGGCAAGCGUUGUUCGGAAUUAUUGGGCGUAAAGAGCACGUAGGCGGCCUUGAAAGUCAGUUGUGAAAGCCUUCUGCUUAACGGAAGAACAGCAUCUGAUACUACAGGGCUUGAGUGCGGGAGGGGAGAGUGGAACUUCUGGUGGAGCGGUGAAAUGCGUAGAUAUCAGAAGGAACGCCGGCGGCGAAAGCGGCUCUCUGGCUCGUAACUGACGCUGAGUGUGCGAAAGCUAGGGGAUCAAACGGGAUUAGAUACCCCGGUAGUCCUAGCCGUAAACGAUGGGCACUAAGUAGAGGGGUUUUGAUUAUCUCUCUGCCGGAGCUAACGCAUUAAGUGCCCCGCCUGGGAAGUACGGCCGCAAGGCUAAAACUCAAAAGAAUUGACGGGGGCUCGCACAAGCGGUGGAGCAUGUGGCUUAAUUCGAUGCAACGCGAAGAACCUUACCGGGGUUUGACAUGGUAGAAGUAGGAGCCAGAAACGGUAACGAACGGUAUCCAGUCCGUAACUAUCACAGGUGUGGCAUGGCUG